CAAACACCAUCUUAGUUUAAUAACAAUUUUGACACAUUUCUUUGUGUAAAUUAAUUUUUUAAUGGCAACAAGUGGGCAUGUUAAAUGAAAGUAAAGCGUCACGGUGGGUUUUAUGCCACGUGGAGAACUCGCAUUUGGCACGUUCAGUUAAAAUAAAAAGGGUAAUAAAACAGAACAUUUCCUUAUCCAUAAUGUCUUCAACAACAAAUUAUAUUCUCAUGGACAUGUCCAAAGGAGACAUAAAUACAAUGUCUACAUCUCCAAUGGCACCCUAUUGUCUUUAUAGUGCACUACUUUAGACCAGAGUCCUAGUCAAAAGUAGUGCACUAUAUAGGAAAUAGGGUGCCAUUUAGCUCACAAGCCUUCAUGUAGAUCUGAAAAGAAAGAGAUAUAGGGAACAUAUCGUUUUCAGUGCCUUGGUAGGCACUCUAAGUUAACUCCAUGCUUAUAUCCCAAAUGGCACUAUAUUAGUGCACUACUUAUGCCCACAGCCCAUUGUGUCUCUGUGCACCAUAUAGGGAAUAGGGUGCCAUUUGGGAUGCACAUCAAUAAUUGCUUCCUCCCUUCAUAGAGAGUGACCACUGAUCCUGCCAUUGACUGGAUUGGGGUAAACGGCCCUAUCCAACCACGUUAGAUCAGCGAUAGCUUCAGGAAAGACCACAGGAAGGAUGCAUUAAAACAGAAGUAAAGCAGGACGUUUGUUUUUUUACAGCACCAACACAAAAGGCUUGAAAAGCAAAUAAAAAAAAAACCCCUCAAAAUUCUCUAGAAUGGCUUCUUAUCCUUGUUUCCUGUCCUGCGUUCUCACUGCCAGUGUCCCGAGAGAAUGUCUGGGACUCAAAUGGGACCCUACACUACAUUGGACCAAGACAGCUCUGGUCAAAAGUAGAGCACUAUAUUGGGAAUUAGAUGGUAUUUGGGGACACACAAACUGGUAGGUUAAAGCACUAUGGUGGAAACCAAUGAAUCCUAUCCAGUCUAGUAACCCUUGUGUUGAUGAAGGAAAGGAAACAAGGGGGAAUGAAGCCAUUUCAACUCCUGGAAAAUAAAAAAAAACGAUUUAACUAAACCUCUGAUACAGACUGAGGGAAAGUGGGCAGGUGCAUGGAGUUUCUCUGCUAAUGAUUCCAAACAGAUGGGAAUGAAUUCAAGAAGUCCUUUUGUUAAAGAAACAGAAUGGCAUACAGUAUACAGUCUGAUAAAUAAAAAUGUUUAAAAUAAAAAUAAAAAUGGCAUAUGAAAUGUUUGACUUUAGAAACAGAUUACUGAAAACACUGAUAUUUUUUUUUUCUCCAUCAUUCCUGAAAUUUUAAAACUGUACAAAACAAUCUGUAUCAAUAGGCACUUAAAUAAGUUAUAUAUAUCUUUUUUUUAAUUAUUAUUUUCUUUUUCUGUAGUAAUGGCACAUGAAGAUAUGGGGAAAUGUUUUUUAUUAUUUUUUUAAUCGAGAUCACUUGAGAUUGGCAAGGAGCAGAGAAAGCUAAGAUGCAUUGUGGAGUUUGUAGUCCUACUGGGAGGAGCUGUAGUCCUUCAGAUCAGAUCUAGGUUGAAGUUUCACCACCAUACUGCUUAUACCAAUUCAAUACAUUUUGAUCUCCAGAAGUGCUUAGGGGGGGGGGUGACAGAGAAAAGGGAGUCUUUUUGGGAAUGGGGAAGGACUUUAUGAGGACUUCUCUUUCUUUGCUCUUGGCGAAUCAGCUCCGUUGGAACUUACUCCGUUCACGCCAUUGGCUGCAAACGACAGAGAAUGAAGUGAAGGUACAUGGAGCAAGAGAGAAAAACAAAUCAAAAUUAACAUUAAUGACAUUUUUCUAACUUGAAUCUGAAAAACUGCAAUAACUUCAUUAAAACAAUAUAAAAGCCUUAUCAAAAGAACUUUCCCAGACGGAUUCUUUCACAUUGUCAAUGAGUAUUUUCUGGCAUUCUAGUAUAGUGUUGCUUCCUGGGUUAUAUAUAUAUAUAUAUAUAUAUAGUGUUGCUUCCUGGGUUAUAUAUAUAUAUAGUGUUGCUUCCUGGGUUAUAUAUAUAUAUAUAUAUGU
rnacentral:lncRNA from 1 species